CCUGAGGCCCAAACAUUUGUGUUGUUUUCACCUUUCAUUUAUGCACUGGGAUUUGUUGGGGGCACCAUGGUGUUUUAAUAAACAUCUGUAUUUGGAUUUAUUCAUAUAUAUUUUUUUCUACAGUGUGCGAGUAUUCUUCCUGAAUAUGUUAAUUGGUUUCCCUUCUUCCAGGUUGCCACACCUGCGUCGAUGGACCCACUGUUCCUUCAAUCACGUGACGGGACAAAGGAAAAGAGGGCGGUCCUACGCUGUCAGACAGGGCCGCCCAGAUUAUAGCCACGGUCACACCUGACGGGAGAUGUCUACAGACAGCUUGCUGGUCCUACAGGGCAUAACAACACCUGACGGGAGAUGUCUACAGACACCUGGCUGGUCCUUCAGAGGAUAAUGACUAUUAAACAGGGCUUGAGAGCACAGCGUUCUGUAGUGUGGCGUCACUGUUGGGAAAUAUAAACAGCAGCAUACACUAGAUGCAGGUAUUCAAUCAGCUCUUCGUCGACAAGGGUAAUUCAUGCUUGAGCAGACAUUGUUUACUGAAAACCAUGUAUUUGAUACCAUUCCUCCCAAUUAAAGGUGACACCAAUCUCCUGUGCUGUACCCAACACUUACAAUUAUCUGUCAGGUCCCUCAGUCGAUCAGUGAAUUUCAAACACACAUUCAACCACAAAGACCAGGGAGGUCUUACAAUGCCUCGCAAAGAAGGGCAACUAUUGGUAGAUGGGUUCACAUUUUUUAAAGCAGACACUGAAUAUAAUAUCCCUUUUAGCACGGUGCAGUUAUUAGUAAUUACACUUUGGAUGGUGUGUCAAUACACCCAGUCAAUACAAAGAUACAGGCGUCCUUCCUAAAUCAGUUGCCGGGGAGGAAGGAAACCACUCAGGGAUUUCACCAUGAGGCCAAUGGGGACUUUAAAACAGUUACAGAGUUUAAUGGCUGUUAAAGGAGAAAACUGAGGAUGGAUCAACAACAUCCUAACAACACCUGUCUCAACAUGUCCUCCUAACAACGCCUGUCUCAACAUGUCCUCCCAACAACACCUGUCUCAACAUGUCCUCCUAACAACACCUGUCUCAACAUGUCCUCCUAACAACACCUGUCUCAACAUGUCCUCCUAACAACACCUGUCUCAACAUGUCCUCCUAACAACACCUGUCUCAACAUGUCCUCCUAACAACACCUGUCUCAACAUGUCCUCCUAACAACACCUGUCUCAACAUGUCCUCCUAACAACACCUGUCUCAACAUGUCCUCCUAACAACACCUGUCUCAACAUGUCCUCCUAACAACACCUGUCUCAACAUGUCCUCCUAACAACACCUGUCUCAACAUGUCCUCCUAACAACACCUGUCUCAACAUGUCCUCCUAACAACACCUGUCUCAACAUGUCCUCCUAACAACACCUGUCUCAACAUAGGAACGUGUUCCUGUUUAUUUCAUUCCAGUUAUGAGUUUCGUCAAUUUAUUAAUCUUCUUCUUCUUUUGUUUGAGGGUUCUGUCAAUGUUAAGCACGUUUAACCUGAUUAUGCACAGGCCUAUAGAAGUAGGCCUAGUCUACCUGCCUGCGCGCAAAUGUAGAAGAAGAAAUGUCCCCAUUUGGGGUUCUGAUAGUGUUUCUGAUUGUCUCGUCACCACCAGUGAUCUGUGGCGCUUCUCAAAGUCAUUUUUACUUCACCACAAACAGCAACUAAACAAAGUCUGUUUUUAUAAUUAAUUGAGAAUGACAAUAGUUCCUCAAAGUAUUUUUAAAAUAUUUCCAGCUCCACAAAUGUCAUGCUAUGAUGGAAACUAUUAAAAUAUCUGAUUACUUUUAA